rnacentral:rRNA from 1 species
CCUACGGGUGGCAGCAGUGAGGAAUAUUGGUCAAUGGGUGGGAGCCUGAACCAGCCAAGUCGCGUGAAGGAAGAAGGUACUUAGUGUUGUAAACUUCUUUUAUCGGGGAACAAAGUGGGGGACGCGUCUCCGUAUGUAUGUACCCGAUGAAUAAGCAUCGGCUAACUCCGUGCCAGCAGCCGCGGUAAUACGGAGGAUGCGAGCGUUAUCCGGAUUUAUUGGGUUUAAAGGGUGCGCAGGCGGGGAGUUAAGUCAGCCGUGAAAAUUUGGGGCUCAACCCCAGGAGGGCAGUUGAAACUGGCAGCCUUGAGUUGGAGUGAGGUAUGCGGAAUUCGUGGUGUAGCGGUGAAAUGCAUAGAUAUCACGAAGAACUCCGAUUGCGAAGGCAGCCUAC